UUGGUUGGUACUUGUUGAUGAUCAAUCACUCAGUUCCUUGAAUACAUUGAAAUGUGUGGGGAUUUUUACUAUGAUGCAUGCCUUCUUACCUGUGUAAAGUUAAUUAGACCCAUACUUUUGUUGAGAGGAGGCUGACAAUUGUUAGUUUGGAGCUUGACCCUCUUGGUAGGUUUCAAAUCUGAAAUUUUGUACAUCUACUUGCUAAAGUUGCUUGAGAAAUCUAUUAAUGUGUUAUACAAACAAUACGGCUAUUUCCAAAUUUUUCUCAUAUAUAGACUUAUAAAUAUAUCUCCCCGUGUGUGUGAUUGGGGUGGGGGGAGUCCAAGUUGAAAUUCUUCUUGUAUGUCUCCUGGUUAACUCAUGUGCAAGUGAUAGUUGCAAUGUGUUCAAAAGUGUCGUUUAUCAGCAGCAAUAAUGAAAGCUACUGGUUGUGGUGAGGAGCUUGUCUCUUAAGACCACCAUGGGGAGACCAGUGCGCAUAUAAUGAGUUCUUGGCCAAGGGAGUUCUGUAAUACUUCCAUUAGGGAGAUGGCAAAUUAGAAAAAAUAUAAUUAUGGUUUUACUUAUAUAUUGGUUAUUUGUUAUUAUAUAAAAAAUUAGAAAAAAUAUAGUUAUGGUUUUAUAUAUUUGUUAUCUGUCAUAUAAUUUGUUUGUGGAAUUUGUUGGCCAUCAUUUUAGGUGAUUUAAAUUUACAUGAAGAUGCUAGUCCAAAAAUGAGUGGUAGAGAUCUUACCAAUGGAUCACUUUCAAGCCAAUUAUUUUAAAAUUGCUAUUUGGUGUGGAAAUUAAAUCAUU